AAGCAGUUUAGUGACAUUCAGUUAGGCCACAUGAGAAAGUACAAAAUGGAAGCUCUGCUUCAUAUGCCAAAGAAACUUAAAAUCCCCAUGAAUCUGCUUGAAUGGAUAGAUCAGCACAUCUUUGGAACUAAAGAGCCCUAUUUCAAGCAUAAGAAUAAAGUUAUCAAGAUUACUAAAGAUAUGGUCGACAAAAUUUUCGAUUUCCCUGGUGGCACCAAGCCUUUUGUAUUCAGUAGCGACGAUCCCCAAGUGAAAGCAGAGGUUACACAGUUGAGGAACAAGUAUAUUGAUCAUCGGAACAAAAUGCCAAUUAAUAAAAUAGAGGAGGUGAUGCUUAGUGACGAGACAGAAGAUGGUUUUAUUAGGAGCUUCACAUUUUAUUUCCUAUCAUCUAUUUUGUGCCCUGCGUCAUAUUGUUUUGGAAACACCAAGUUCUUGUACUCUCUGAGAGAUGUUUCUGCUAUUCCUUCACUCGACUUUGCACAAUUGGCACUGGAUUUCAUGCGUGAGGAGUCACAACGUCACUUAGAAAUGAUCAUGAACAGACCAUCUGUUGAGGAAAUGAACAAGUCUUCAUAUAUUGGGGGAUGUCUUCCUAUUUGGGGAAUCAUUUAUCUGGAUUUUGUUGAUUUCAAUAUUAUUGAUAAUCAUCAGUCUACUGUGGAUUAUUCUCUUCCACGGAUAUGUCAUGUUAAGACUGAAGAUUUCAAGUAUCUU
rnacentral:rRNA from 1 species